rnacentral:tRNA from 1 species
GGUGCUAUAGUGUAGUGGUUAUCACUCGGGAUUUUGAUCCAAUACGGGCAUUGAGCCAUAUCUUCCCGGAACCCAGGUUCGAACCCUGGUAGCACCU